rnacentral:lncRNA from 1 species
UACAAAUCUGAGGGAAGAUAUCCCAGUAGACUUCCAUAUUUCUGAGACAUUACUGUGGAACACUUAGCAAAAUCGGGGGCAAAGGAGCUAUUUCCAUUUUCUACAUAUCUGCUAUAAUCCUCAAAUCAGGCCAGCUGCUGGAAUGAAAAGAUGCAUAAGAUCCUCUUGCUCUGUGCUCCCGAUGGGGCUGCUCACGAUUCAGCCGAAGAACAACCAUGCUACAUUUCAAUUACCUUUAUAUGUCUAAGGGUUUGAAUAGAGGAAGAAAUUUGGAGCAACAUUGAGAUUUCCAGUGUGGACACUGAAAUGAGAUAGACAUUACGCUCUCUGGGUCUAAUAAUAAUACUUUCUAUGAUUUGCUAAAAACUAGUGUUUCCCAAGUAAUAUAAAUCUCAAGUCAGGAAGUGAGAUUCUUAUUUUAGCAAAAAAAAAAAAAAAAGUUCCAUUUAGAUUCUGAAUAUAAAUAGGAUAAUACACAGACCGAUAUUCAAGUAGUGAAGUGUAGUAGAGGCUCACUUGUGAUUAAAGGAUAUCAAUACUUCAGAGCCUGUUAUGAAAGAAUUGUUGGCUGAUUUCACUUGGCCCCUCUUUUUCAAACCCUGACUUGUAUGACUCAAAGCUUCCCAUAACUUGGUGUCCAACUUAUUUCCUCCCAGCACAGCAGUAUCCCAGGCUGACUCAUCUCUGUGUGGCCCAGGCACUCUGUUUUUGGUGCCUGUUGGAAGUUGAUCCAGUAGGGAAAAGCAGCAACACCCAAAAUGUCUUAAGGAAAAUGGAAAUAUCAUUCACCAGAAAGAACUGAAGUUCUCAGACCCAGCGGAUGACAGAAGGACAACACCAGAGGACCGUGCGGCUGCAAGGGCAAAUAUCCCACAAGACGGAAUCCUUCCCUGAGUAGCAGAUAACUUGGAAGAGACUGAGGAUUAGAAAAGCAAGAAGUGACUUGUGCAGUUCAAAUAGGCUUCAGGUGUCUAUGAGAGGAAGCAGCCGAGAAGACUCACGUCCUCGUUUUGUGUUGCUAUCGCAAAAUGUAUGAGGCUGGAUACCUAAUAAU